UACGUAGGGGGCAAGCGUUGUCCGGAUUUAUUGGGCGUAAAAGGCUUGUAGGUGGCCACGCCAAGUCGGAUGUGAAAUCUCCCGGCUCAACUGGGAGGGGUCAUUCGAUACUGGCGGGCUCGAGGCCGGUAGGGGGAAGUGGAAUUCCCGGUGUAGUGGUGGAAUGCGUAGAUAUCGGGAGGAACACCAGUGGCGAAGGCGGCUUCCUGGACCGGUUCUGACACUGAGGAGCGAAAGGCUAGGGGGAGCAAACGGG
rnacentral:rRNA from 1 species